rnacentral:rRNA from 1 species
UACGAAGGGUGCAAACGUUGCUCGGAAUUAUUGGGCGUAAAGCGCACGUAGGCGGCUUAGCAAGUCGGAAGUGAAAUCCCUCGGCUCAACCAAGGAAGUGCUUUCGAAACUGCUGAGCUUGAGUACUAAAGAGGAUCGCGGAAUUCCCGGUGUAGAGGUGAAAUUCGUAGAUAUCGGGAGGAACACCAGUGGCGAAGGCGGCUUACUGGUCCGGUUCUGACGCUGAGGCGCGAAAGCCAGGGGAGCAAACAGG